UCGAUGUCGGCUCAUCACAUCCUGGGGCUGAAGUAGGUCCCAAGGGUAUGGCUGUUCGCCAUUUAAAGUGGUACGCGAGCUGGGUUUAGAACGUCGUGAGACAGUUCGGUCCCUAUCUGCCGUGGGCGCUGGAGAACUGAGGGGGGCUGCUCCUAGUACGAGAGGACCGGAGUGGACGCAUCACUGGUGUUCGGGUUGUCAUGCCAAUGGCACUGCCCGGUAGCUAAAUGCGGAAGAGAUAAGUGCUGAAAGCAUCUAAGCACGAAACUUGCCCCGAGAUGAGUUCUCCCUGAGACUUAGAGUCUCCUGAAGGAACGUUGAAGACGACGACGUUGAUAGGCCGGGUGUGUAAGCGCAGCGAUGCGUUGAGCUAACCGGUACUAAUGAACCGUGAGGCUUAACCUUACAACGCCGAAG
rnacentral:rRNA from 2 species